AUGAUCACUGCUCUACCAAUUAGAGGUGAGCCGGUAGCCUCUCCACAAGUGUCUUCAUCUUGGGCAUUAGAUAUAGCAGCCCGUCUUGGGAUGGAAAUGCCAGAAUCACAACGUUCUGGUAACCCUCGGGGCAUCCCACUCGUCUGGCUUCGUGAUAACUUUCUUAAUUUAUCUAGCUUCGUCAAUGAGGAGACGAGAAAAAGACAUUUGUUUGCGUAUUUGUUGUGGCUCCUCGGAAAUCUAUUUCCAAAUUCACAUGGGGACGUUGUUGUCCCUGGUCUCAUCUACAUUGCAGAGAAUUUGGUAGAUGAACCUUUACCCGAGCAGCCAAAAUACAUCUUCGGUUCUGCCAUGCUAUCUCAUACAUACAGAGGCUUGUGUGAUGCCACGCAAAAAACCUCUUUCACACAAAAAGCUCCAUUACUUUGUGUCGCCUAUGAGUUUCUACAGUUAUGA
rnacentral:rRNA from 1 species